rnacentral:rRNA from 1 species
UACAGAGGUCUCAAGCGUUGUUCGGAUUCAUUGGGCGUAAAGGGUGCGUAGGCGGCGCGGUAAGUCGGGUGUGAAAUCUCGGGGCUUAACUCCGAAACUGCAUUCGAUACUACCGUGCUUGAGGACUGGAGAGGAGACUGGAAUUUACGGUGUAGCGGUGAAAUGCGUAGAUAUCGGAAGGAACACCAGUGGCGAAAGCGGCUUCCUGGUCCAGCACCGACGUUCAGGCACGAAAGCGUGGGGAGCAAACAGG